GAACGAUGCAUAUAAAUCCACGCCCACUAUACUUUUCCCUUUAAAAAGUAAGCAAAGGUUGGAUUUCCGAAUCAAAGGGCCUUCUAGACUGAUAUAUAAUGUAGCAUAUGCGAAAGAUUGCUGCUUCCCUUUCCUAAGAAAGCUGGGCGGCAUGCAUCAUCUUCCUGGUUAUCUCUAGGUCUUCUGUUUUCUUCCAGAUUGGAAAUAGUUACAGUCGACAUUCAAUUGACAAUGCAACAGCAGGCAGCUCCUGUGCAGCAUGGCGGUCCCUUGUUUAGCUUGUGCCGAUCUCCUGCCGCUCCCACUAGUGCUACUCGGAACCCCCGUCAGCCUGUUCAGCACAGCCAACCUCAUACCAAUGAAGCUCCUGCGCCUGCGCCCAGAAAUGGCGAACAUAAGCCUCAGGGAAACGGGUAACAAGCCUCCGGUUCUGUGGGUGGAGGUGGCAGACUGUUGCUUCUCCUGCCAAUAUACAUGGAGUAACAAACAACACUGAACUACAAACAUAAUAAUUUUAUUUCAAAUGUCAGAGUGUUAGCCGGACUAACACAGUUAACAUGGACGAUCCGCCAUUGAGCUACAUAUAGCAUCGAUAAGUAAAUCAUAAAUGGAGACAUACAUUGUGUUAUUUUGUACUGUCACGUGAUAGAGUGACUA